CGUAACAAGGUCUCCGUUGGUGAACCAGCGGAGGGAUCAUUG
rnacentral:rRNA from 10 species